UUCUGGUUGAUCCUGCCGGAGGACAUUGCUAUUGGGAUUCGAUUUAGCCAUGCUAGUCGUACGAGUUCAGACUCGUGGCGAAUAGCUCAGUAACACGUGGCCAAGCUACCCUUCAGAUCACCAUACCCUCGGGAAACUGAGGCUAAUAGUGAAUACGGUAUCCAUGUUGGAAUACGGGAUACUCCAAACGCUCCGGCGCUGAAGGAUGCGGCUGCGGCCGAUUAGGUAGACGGUGGGGUAACGGCCCACCGUGCCAAUAAUUGGUACGGGUCAUGAGAGUGAGAGCCCGGAGACGGAAUCUGAGACAAGAUUCCGGGCCCUACGGGGCGCAGCAGGCGCGAAACCUUUACACUGCACGAACGUGCGAUAGGGGAAUCCCAAGUGCGAGGGCAUACUAGCCCUCGCUUUUGUGUACCCUAAGGCGGUACACGAAUAAGAGCUGGGCAAGACCGGUGCCAGCCGCCGCGGUAAUACCGGCAGCUCGAGUGAUGUCCACUAUUAUUGGGCCUAAAGCGUCCGUAGCUGGCCAGCCAAGUUCGUCGGGAAAUCCACCUGCCCAACAGGUGGGCGUCCGGCGAAAACUGUCUGGC
rnacentral:rRNA from 1 species